rnacentral:rRNA from 1 species
CCUACGGGUGGCAGCAGUGAGGAAUAUUGGUCAAUGGGCGCGAGCCUGAACCAGCCAAGUCGCGUGAGGGAAGACGGUCCUAUGGAUUGUAAACCUCUUUUGUCGGGGAGCAAAAGACGCCACGCGUGGCGUUCCGAGAGUACCCGAAGAAAAAGCAUCGGCUAACUCCGUGCCAGCAGCCGCGGUAAUACGGAGGAUGCGAGCGUUAUCCGGAUUUAUUGGGUUUAAGGGGUGCGCAGGCGGGAGAUCAAGUCAGCGGUAAAAUUGAGAGGCUCAACCUCUUCGAGCCGUUGAAACUGGUUGUCUUGAGUGAGUGAGAGGUAUGCGGAAUGCGUGGUGUAGCGGUGAAAUGCAGAGAUAGCACGCAGAACUCCGAUUGCGAAGGCAGCAUACCGGCGCUCAACUGACGCUCAUGCACGAAAGUGUGGGUAUCGAACAGGAUUAGAUACCCGUGUAGUC